rnacentral:tRNA from 1 species
GCGGGGUUGGUCGGGAAAGAACUUGAAUUUAAAAUUCAAGGAAAUUUUGAAUAUGAUACAAUUUUUGGUUCAGUUCGAAUUCCUGUG